rnacentral:rRNA from 1 species
GACGAACGCUGGCGGCGUGCUUAACACAUGCAAGUCGAACGGUGAAGGGACCGGUUUUUGCUGGUUCUGGAUGAGUGGCGAACGGGUGAGUAACACGUGAGUAACCUGCCCCCUUCUUCUGGAUAACCGCAUGAAAGUGUGGCUAAUACGGGAUAUUCUGCGCCUGCUGCAUGGUGGGUGUGGGAAAGAUAUUGUUUCGGUGGGGGAUGGGCUCGCGGCCUAUCAGCUUGUUGGUGGGGUGAUGGCCUACCAAGGCGGUGACGGGUAGCCGGCCUGGGAGGGUGGACGGUCACACUGGGAAUGAGACACGGCCCAGACUCCUACGGGAGGCAGCAGUGGGGAAUAUUGCACAAUGGGCGCAAGCCUGAUGCAGCGACGCCGCGUGAGGGAUGGAGGCCUUCGGGUUGUAAACCUCUUUCGCCAGUGAAGCAGGCCUGUCCCUUUUGUGGGUGGGUUGACGGUAGCUGGAUAAGAAGCGCCGGCUAACUACGUG